AGAGUUUGAUCAUGGCUCAGGAUGAAUGCUGGCGGCGUGCCUAACACAUGCAAGUCGAGCGGCAGCGAGGGGUGCUUGCACCCUGUCGGCGAGCGGCGAACGGCUGAGUAACGCGUAGGAAUUUGCCCCAAAGUGAGGAAUAACUGCCCGAAAGGGUAGCUAAUGCCGCAUAUGGUCUUCGGAUUAAAGGAUUUAUCCGCUUUGGGAGAAGCCUGCGUUGGAUUAGGUUGUUGGUAGGGUAAUGGCCUACCAAGCCGACGAUCCAUAGCUGGUCUGAGAGGAUGAUCAGCCAGACUGGAACUGAGACACGGUCCAGACUCCUACGGGAGGCAGCAGUGAGGAAUCUUCCACAAUGGGCGAAAGCCUGAUGGAGCAACGCCGCGUGAAGGAUGAAGGCCUUCGGGUUGUAAACUUCUUUUAUGAGUGAAGAAUAUGACGGUAACUCAUGAAUAAGCACCGGCUAACUACGUGCCAGCAGCCGCGGUCAUACGUAGGGUGCAAGCAUUAUCCGGAGUGACUGGGCGUAAAGAGUUGCGUAGGCGGUUUAAUAAGUGAAUAGUGAAACCUGGUGGCUCAACCAUACAGACUAUUAUUCAAACUGUUAAACUCGAGAAUGGUAGAGGUAACUGGAAUUUCUUGUGUAGGAGUGAAAUCCGUAGAUAUAAGAAGGAACACCAAUGGCGUAGGCAGGUUACUGGGCCAUUUCUGACGCUAAGGCACGAAAGCGUGGGGAGCGAACCGGAUUAGAUACCCUGGUAAUCCAA
rnacentral:rRNA from 1 species